rnacentral:rRNA from 1 species
UAUGUAGGGGGCGAGCGUUGUCCGGAUUUACUGGGCGUAAAGGACGCGCAGGCGGCCCGAGGGGUCUGUCGUUAAAGCCCGGGGCUCAACCCCGGGUGGUCGGCGGAGACCGGCGGGCUUGGAGGCCGGUAGAGGGAUGCGGAAUUCCCGGUGUAGUGGUGAAAUGCGCAGAUAUCAGGAGGAACACCCGUAGCGAAGGCGGCACUCUGGGCCGAUACUGACACUGAGGAGCGAAAGCGUGGGGAGCGAACAGG